rnacentral:rRNA from 1 species
AGCUCCAAUAGCGUAUAUUAAAGUUGUUGCAGUUAAAAAGCUCGUAGUUGAAAUAUUGAUGUGGUCAACCGGUCUCGCGCUUUGUCGUGAUGGCUUGUGUUGUGCCAUAUCAUUCUUGGUGAUAGCCUGUCUGGCAUUAAGUUGUUGGGCUUGGCAAAAACCAUCGUUUACUGUGAAAAAUUAGAGUGUUCAAAGCAGACUUAUGUCAAUGAAUACAUUAGCAUGGAAUAAUAAUAUAGGGCUUUUGCACUAUUUUGUUGGUUAGGUACGAAAGUAAUGAUCAACAGGGACAGUUGGGCAUAUUCGUAUUUCGAUGCUAGAGGUGAAAUUCUUGGAUUUUCGAAAGACGAACUACUGCGAAAGCAUUUAUGAAGGAUGUUUUCAUUAAUCAAGAACGAAA